GACGAACGCUGGCGGCGUGCUUAACACAUGCAAGUCGAACGGAAAAGCCCUGCUUGCUGGGUACUCGAGUGGCGAACGGGUGAGUAACACGUGGGUAAUCUGCCCUUAACUUCGGGAUAAGCCUGGGAAACUGGGUCUAAUACCGGAUAGGAGCCAUUUUUAGUGUGAUGGUUGGAAAGUUUUUUCGGUGUAUGAUGUGCUCGCGGCCUAUCAGCUUGUUUGUGGGGUAAUGGCCUACCAAGGCGGCGACAGGUAGACGGCCUGUGAGGGUGGACGGCCAAAUUGGGACUGAGAGACGGCGCAGACACCUACGGGAGGCAGCAGUGGGGAAUAUUUCACAAUGGGCGCAAGCCUGAUGCAGCGACGCCGCGUGGGGGAUGACGGCCUUCGGGUUGUAAACACCUUUUGCUAGGGACAAAGCUUGUUGUGACGGUGCCUAGAUAAGAAGCACCGGGUAACUUCGUG
rnacentral:rRNA from 1 species